UCCCUGGUGGUCCAGUGGUUAGGACUCUGCCCUUCUAAUACAGGAGGUGUAGGUUCAAUCCCUGGUCAGGGAA
rnacentral:tRNA from 1 species